UCCACAGAGGGCGGUGUCUCUGGCGGCCUA
rnacentral:piRNA from 1 species